rnacentral:rRNA from 1 species
GAUGAACGCUAGCGGCAGGCUUAACACAUGCAAGUCGAGGGGUAUAGUAGCAAUACUAGAGACCGGCGCACGGGUGCGUAACGCGUAUGCAAUCUACCUUUUGCAGAGGGAUAGCCCAGAGAAAUUUGGAUUAAUACCUCAUAGUAUAGCUGAACCGCAUGGUUCUACUAUUAAAGUCACAACGGUAAAAGAUGAGCAUGCGUCCCAUUAGCUAGUUGGUAAGGUAACGGCUUACCAAGGCAACGAUGGGUAGGGGUCCUGAGAGGGAGAUCCCCCACACUGGUACUGAGACACGGACCAGACUCCUACGGGAGGCAGCAGUGAGGAAUAUUGGACAAUGGGCGCAAGCCUGAUCCAGCCAUGCCGCGUGCAGGAUGAAGCAUCUAUGGUGUGUAAACUGCUUUUGUACGAGAAGAAACAUCCCGACGUGUCGGGACUUGACGGUAUCGUAAGAAUAAGGAUCGGCUAACUCCGUG